UACGGGGGGAGCAAGCGUUGUUCGGAUUUACUGGGCGUAAAGGGCGCGUAGGCGGCCAGCACAAGUCAGUUGUGAAAUCUCCGGGCUUAACUCGGAAAGGUCAACUGAUACUGUGCGGCUAGAGUGCAGAAGGGGCAACUGGAAUUCUCGGUGUAGCGGUGAAAUGCGUAGAUAUCGAGAGGAACACCUGCGGCGAAGGCGGGUUGCUGGGCUGACACUGACGCUGAGGAGCGAAAGCGUGGGGAGCGAACAGG
rnacentral:rRNA from 1 species